rnacentral:rRNA from 1 species
AACGAACGCUGGCGGCAUGCCUAACACAUGCAAGUCGAACGAUUGCCUUCGGGUGAUAGUGGCGCACGGGUGCGUAACGCGUGGGAAUCUGCCCUUAGGUUCGGAAUAACAGCUGGAAACGGCUGCUAAUACCGGAUGAUAUCGCGAGAUCAAAGAUUUAUCGCCUGAGGAUGAGCCCGCGUUGUAUUAGGUAGUUGGUGGGGUAAAGGCCUACCAAGCCGACGAUCCAUAGCUGGUCUGAGAGGAUGAUCAGCCACACUGGGAAUGAGACACGGCCCAGACUCCUACGGGAGGCAGCAGUGGGGAAUAUUGGACAAUGGGCGCAAGCCUGACCCAGCAAUGCCGUGUGAGUGAUGAAGGCCCUAGGGUUGUAAAGCUCUCUUACCCGGGAAGAUAAUGACUGUACCGGGAGAAUAAGCCCCGGCUAACUCCGUG